GGUAAAAAGCUCGUAGUUGGAUUUCUGUUGAGGGCGACCGGUCCAUACCAUGUAUGCGCAUCUGGCUCGGCCUUGGCAUCCUCUCGAAAUACGUUUCUGCGCUUGAUUGCGUGGUGCGGAGUUCGGGACUUUUACUUUGAGGAAAUUAGAGUGUUCACGGCAGGCUACCGCCAGAAUACAUUAGCAUGGAAUAAUACUAUAGGAUCUUGAUUCUAUUUUGUUGGUUUCUAGAAUUAGGAUAAUGAUUAAUAGGGACAAUUGGGGGCAUUCGUAUCAACACGUCAGAGGUGGAAUUCUUGGAUUGUGUUGCGACGAACUACUGCGAAAGCAUUUGCCAAGGAUGUUUUCAUUGAUCAAGAACGAAAGUAAGGGGAUCGAAGACGAUUAGAUACCGUCGUAGUCUUUACCACAAACUAUGCCAACUAGAGAUGGGGCAUCGUUCAUUUACGACUUGCUCCGCACCUUAUGAGAUAUCAAAGUUUUUGGGUUCCGGGGGGAGUAUACUCGCAAGUGUGGAACUUAAAGGAAUUGACGGAAGGGCACCACCAGGAGUGGAGCCUGCGGCUUAAUUUGACUCAACACGGGGAAACUCACCAGGUCCAGGCAUAAUAAGGAUUGACAGAUUGAUAGCUCUUUCUUGAUUUUAUGGGUGGUGGUGCAUGGCCGUUCUUAGUUCGUGGAGUGAUUUGUCUGCUUAAUUGCGUUAACGAA
rnacentral:rRNA from 1 species